UAACUGUUUGAUAUAAUUCACCACUAAAGUCUGUUCGGAGGUACAUGUGAAGGUUUGUUACACAGAUCAAAUUAUUACUACUACUGAAGCAAGACACUUUUGUGUAUUCUCCUCACGCUUAUUGAGUCUUGACGUUUCUCAAAGUGGCUGGUGAGAGUAAACACUAUUCCUGGAUCUGGGUGAGUGUGUAUUUUUUCUAGUCUUCUCGUGAUUAUUUGAUCAUCUAGUUUUCUUACACACAUGUGUUGAUCAGUCCUCAGCUGAAUAGUCAAACCACAGGUACCCUUUGAAGAUCCCCAUGGUUCUCACUCCAUACAGCAUUCUCCUCUUUGGUACUCUUUCCUGAGAACUGUGACUGCCUCAGUUACCUAGGGCUUCUCUU
rnacentral:lncRNA from 1 species